rnacentral:lncRNA from 1 species
GUUCAAGAACGCCCACACCGAAUCCCUCGCGUUUGAGUAGCAAAUAACUUUUAUUUUAAUAUUUGUCCAAGAUAAAAUUGUCCAGACUCGGAAUUCUAUGACAGCUGACGUGACCGUUGUCACGACAGCAUCACCACGGCAACCGAGAGCGAUUCUCUUGCGGUCCAAUUAAAACAUUAGCACGCUUCCAAGUUCAAACACACGCUCCUCACAAUAGGUAGCGGUCUAUUCCUAAUCACGUUUCUUGUUAUUGCGGUUUGCCGUACAAAUCACCCAUGACAAUUGCAACUGACCACGCAUUUUCGCGUAAUGACAUGACUAAUUACAUUUUACUUACAUACAGACACAAACCACGGCAGCUUAUUGUAGAAUACUACCUACACUGGACAACCACAUUUGAGAUAUCUUUUUCAGGUAGUUCAGACAUCAAACCACGGCAGCUUAUUGUAGAAUACUACCUACACUGGA